GCCACCCCACCCCCUUUUAAAUAGCUCAGUUGGGAGAGCGUUAGACUGAAGAUCUAAAGGUCCCUGCUUUGAUCCCGGGUUUCGGCA